rnacentral:lncRNA from 1 species
CAAUAUGAUAUUCUCCCCUAGGGAAUAAAUAGAGACACAGAGGAGGAAGCAGGAAAAGAGUCAAUCAUAUAAGAACCAGUGGGAAACAUUUUAUGAGGGACUGGAGAGAAACAGAGAAAGAUUAUACUGGAAAUUGUUG